rnacentral:ncRNA from 1 species
AUAAACAAAUUGAGGAACUGAGUAUUUGUUGAAAUUUUCAAGAGAGUCUCUGAUUGGUGCGAAAGAGAUAAAAGGCAAACAAAGAAGAUGGGUUCUAGAUCAAUCAUUAGUGAGUUUCGACAAGCUAAUGGCGGGGUUGCUACCGAUAUCUUAGCAAAGCUGUUCUAAUCGAGACGCGUCAAUUGGAGCAGUUUUUGAGGCAAAUAGCCAUUGACUAUUUGUAAAUUGAGGUGGUACCACGAGAGCAUUCGUCCUUAGC